AGCAGCCGCGGUAAUUCCAGCUCUCUAGUGUAUCUCGUUAUUGCUGCGGUUAAAAAGCUCGUAGUUGGAUCUAGGUUACGUGCCGCAGUUCGCAAUUUGCGUUAACUGUGGUCGUGACUUCUAAUUUGCUGGUUUGAGGUUGGGUUCGCCCUUCAACUGCCAGCAGGUUUACCUUGAAUAAAUCAGAGUGCUCAAUACAGGCGCUUGCUUGAAUAGCUCAUCAUGGAAUAAUGAAACAGGACUUCGGUUCUUUUUGUUGGUUCUAGAAUUGAUCUAAUGGUUAAGAGGGACAAACCGGGGGCAUUCGUAUCAUUACGCGAGAGGUGAAAUUCGUGGACCGUAGUGAGACGCCCAAUAGCGAAAGCAUUUGCCAAGAAUGUCUUCAUUAAUCAAGAACGAAAGUCAGAGGUUCGAAGGCGAUUAGAUACCGCCCUAGUUCUGACCGUAAACGAUGCCAUCUCGCGAUUCGGAGGGUUCAUGCCCUACCGAGGAGCUACCCGGAAACGAAAGUCUUUCGGUUCCGGGGGUAGUAUGGUUGCAAAGCUGAAACUUAAAGAAAUUGACGGAAGGGCACCACAAGGCGUGGAGCUUGCGGCUUAAUUUGACUCAACACGGGAAAACUCACCCGGUCCGGACACUAUUAGGACUGACAGAUUGAAAGCUCUUUCUCGAUUUGGUGGUUGGUGGUGCAUGGCCGUUCUUAGUUGGUGGAGUGAUUUGUCUGGUUUAUUCCGAUAACGAGCGAGACUCUAGCCUGCUAAAUAGUCGACGAAUCUUCGGGUUCGUAUAACGUUCUUAGAGGGAUAAGCGGUGUUUAGCCGCACGAGAUUGAGCGAUAACAGGUCUGUGAUGCCUUAGAUGUCCGGGGCUGCACGCGUGCUACACUGGUGGAGUCAGCGGGUUUUUCCUAUGCCGAAAGGUAUCGGUAAACCGUUGAACUUCUUCCAUGUCCGGGAUAGGGUAUUGUAAUUAUACCCUUAAACGAGGAAUGCCUAGUAAGUGUGAGUCAUCAGCUCACGUUGAUUACGUCCCUGCCCUUUGUACACACCGCCCGUCGCUAUCCGGGACUGAACUGAUUCGAGAAGAGUGGGGACUGUGGCUGCGAGGUUUUACCACUUCGCAGUUGCGGAAACCAUUUUUAUCGCAUUGGUUUGAACCGGGUAAAAGUCGUAACAAGGUAGCUGUAGGUGAACCUGCAGCUGGAUCAUCG
rfam:Caenorhabditis japonica strain DF5081 Contig9555.1, whole genome shotgun sequence.